rnacentral:rRNA from 1 species
GAUGAACGCUAGCGGCAGGCUUAACACAUGCAAGUCGAGGGGUAUUGGUUUUCGGACCAAGAGACCGGCGCACGGGUGCGUAACGCGUAUGCAAUCUACCUUUUGCAGAGGGAUAGCCCAGAGAAAUUUGGAUUAAUACCUCAUAGUAUAGUACUUUGGCAUCAAGGAACUAUUAAAGUCACAACGGCAAAAGAUGAGCAUGCGUCCCAUUAGUUAGUUGGUAAGGUAACGGCUUACCAAGACAAUGAUGGGUAGGGGUCCGUGAGAGGGAGGAUCCCCCACCACUGGUACUGAGACACGGACCAGACUCCUACGGGAGGCGAGCAGUGAGGAA